rnacentral:rRNA from 1 species
UACGUAGGGAGCAAGCGUUGUUCGGAUUUACUGGGCGUAAAGGGCGCGUAGGCGGCGCGGUAAGUCACUUGUGAAAUCUCUGAGCUUAACUCAGAACGGCCAAGUGAUACUGCAGUGCUAGAGUGCAGAAAGGGCAAUCGGAAUUCUUGGUGUAGCGGUGAAAUGCGUAGAUAUCAAGAGGAACACCUGCGGCGAAGGCGGGUUGCUGGGCCGACACUGACGCUGAGGCGCGAAAGCUAGGGGAGCGAACGGG